rnacentral:rRNA from 1 species
AGAGUUUGAUCCUGGCUCAGGACGAACGCUGGCGGCGCGCCUAACACAUGCAAGUCGAACGGGACUAUACUGGAAGAAGUUUUCGGAUGGAUUUCGGUAUAGUUUAGUGGCGGACGGGUGAGUAACACGUGAGCAACCUGCCUUCGAGAGGGGAAUAACGGCUGGAAACGGUCGCUAAUACCGCAUAACAUACCGGGAGGACAUCCUGCUGGUAUCAAAGAUUUAUCGCUCGAAGAUGGGCUCGCGUCCGAUUAGGUAGUUGGUGAGGUAACGGCCCACCAAGCCGACGAUCGGUAGCCGGACUGAGAGGUUGAACGGCCACAUUGGGACUGAGACACGGCCCAGACUCCUACGGGAGGCAGCAGUGGGGGAUAUUGCACAAUGGGGGAAACCCUGAUGCAGCGACGCCGCGUGUGGGAAGACGGUCCUCUGGAUUGUAAACCACUGUCCCCAGGGACGAAGAUGACGGUACCUGGGGAGGAAGCUCCGGCUAACUACGUGCCAGCAGCCGCGGUAAUACGUAGGGAGCGAGCGUUGUCCGGAAUUACUGGGUGUAAAGGGAGCGUAGGCGGGGAUGCAAGUUGGGUGUCAAAACUACCGGCUCAACUGGUAGUCGCACUCAAAACUGCAACUCUUGAGUGAAGUAGAGGCAGGCGGAAUUCCUAGUGUAGCGGUGAAAUGCGUAGAUAUUAGGAGGAACACCAGUGGCGAAGGCGGCCUGCUGGGCUUUUACUGACGCUGAGGCUCGAAAGUGUGGGGAGCAAACAGGAUUAGAUACCCUGGUAGUCCACACCGUAAACGAUGAUUACUAGGUGUGGGGGGUCUGACCCCUUCCGUGCCGGAGUUAACACAAUAAGUAAUCCACCUGGGGAGUACGGCCGCAAGGUUGAAACUCAAAGGAAUUGACGGGGGCCCGCACAAGCAGUGGAGUAUGUGGUUUAAUUCGAAGCAACGCGAAGAACCUUACCAGGGCUUGACAUCCUACUAACGAAGUAGAGAUACAUUAGGUACCCUUCGGGGGAAGUAGAGACAGGUGGUGCAUGGUUGUCGUCAGCUCGUGUCGUGAGAUGUUGGGUUAAGU